GAUUAACUACAAUACUUUAUAACAAACUCAUAUCGAGUCUGCAGUUGAGUCCACCCGACUGAGUAACCUUCCUCACUUGCAGUAAACAUGAAGACCACGAUGAUGAUCUUUGGCCUGCUUUUCACGUUAGCCUUGAUUUCACAGACCGAGUGCUUUACGGCUGGAAUCGGAAACGUAGGAAAGAGGCAGCUAACGAAGGCAUACCAGUCUUUAGAUCGCAUUUGCAGGGAAACACAAGCUAUCUGUGUGGAGGCCGCAAAGGAUGUCUCACGGCGAUCAAAGACAACGAAACGCUCUCAGGACACAGGGCUGAAUAUGGAAUGAUUAGCAAAUAACAACAUGUGAAACUAAAACCUACUGAAGACAGCCUGAAAAAUGACACACGUUCGAAAUUUAUCAAAGGUCCCCUUUCCUGUUACGAAGAGCGGUUUUAUUUGUGUAAAACACUUUCCAUUCGCUUUUCGAAGAAUUAGUUUUUUUCGAUGUCAAUAUAUAAAAGAGAGAAGGAAAAAAUAGGAAUGUUGAAAAAUAAAGUACAUGCGUCAAAAA